AUUUGACUGUUGCUGAAAUCUCUGUCAAGAGAGGUGGAUACGCUUUCGUCGAUUUUCCUGACCAGUCUGCCGCAGACCGCGCCAUCGAUAAACUUCAUGGGUAUUCUUACUGCGGCCUACCAUUGAUCGUCGAACCUUCAGUAGCUAAUAAAAAAAGCGUGAAUGUCCUGAACCUGCAGAGCUCGAGCGCCACUCAGUUGAAAGAUAACAUCAACGAAUGUCAACCAGGCGGCUGGAGG